AGGGAAUAUUGCAAAAUGGGCGAAAGCCCGAUGCAGCAACGCCGCGUGGGCGAUGAAGGCCUUCGGGUCGUAAAGCCCUUUUUGAGGGGAUGAGGAAGGACAGUACCCUCAGAAUAAGCCUCGGCUAACUACGUGCCAGCAGCCGCGGUAAAACGUAGGAGGCGAGCGUUAUCCGGAUUUACUGGGCGUAAAGCGCGUGCAGGCGGAUUGGAGAGUUGGAUGUGAAAGCUCCCGGCUUAACUGGGAGAGGUCGUUCAAUACUUCCAAUCUUGAGUGCAGUAGAGGGAAGUGGAAUUCCGGGUGUAGUGGUGGAAUGCGUAGAUAUCCGGAGGAACACCAGUGGCGAAAGCGGCUUCCUGGACUGUAACUGACGCUCAGACGCGAAAGCUAGGGUAGCAAACG
rnacentral:rRNA from 1 species